rnacentral:tRNA from 1 species
GGGGCCUUAGCUCAGCUGGGAGAGCGCUUGACUGGCAGUCAAGAGGUCAGGAGUUCGAUCCUCCUAGGCUCCA